rnacentral:rRNA from 1 species
UACGUAGGGUGCGAGCGUUGUCCGGAAUUACUGGGCGUAAAGAGCUCGUAGGCGGUUUUGUCGCGUCGUCUGUGAAAUUCUGCAACUCAAUUGCAGGCGUGCAGGCGAUACGGGCAGACUUGAGUACUACAGGGGAGACUGGAAUUCCUGGUGUAGCGGUGAAAUGCGCAGAUAUCAGGAGGAACACCGAUGGCGAAGGCAGG